rnacentral:rRNA from 1 species
AGAGUUUGAUCCUGGCUCAGGACGAACGCUGGCGGCGUGCCUAAUACAUGCAAGUCGAACGCACUCUCGUUUAGAUUGAAGGAGCUUGCUCCUGAUUGAUAAACAUUUGAGUGAGUGGCGGACGGGUGAGUAACACGUGGGUAACCUGCCCUAAAGUGGGGGACAACAUUUGGAAACAGAUGCUAAUACCGCAUAAAACCUAACACCGCAUGGUGUAGGGUUGAAAGAUGGUUUCGGCUAUCACUUUAGGAUGGACCCGCGGUGCAUUAGUUAGUUGGUGAGGUAAAGGCUCACCAAGACCGUGAUGCAUAGCCGACCUGAGAGGGUAAUCGGCCACACUGGGACUGAGACACGGCCCAGACUCCUACGGGAGGCAGCAGUAGGGAAUCUUCCACAAUGGACGAAAGUCUGAUGGAGCAACGCCGCGUGAGUGAAGAAGGUUUUCGGAUCGUAAAACUCUGUUGUUGGAGAAGAAUGUAUCUGAUAGUAACUGAUCAGGUAGUGACGGUAUCCAACCAGAAAGCCACGGCUAACUACGUGCCAGCAGCCGCGGUAAUACGUAGGUGGCAAGCGUUGUCCGGAUUUAUUGGGCGUAAAGCGAGCGCAGGCGGUUUCUUAAGUCUGAUGUGAAAGCCUUCGGCUCAACCGAAGAAGUGCAUCGGAAACUGGGAAACUUGAGUGCAGAAGAGGACAGUGGAACUCCAUGUGUAGCGGUGAAAUGCGUAGAUAUAUGGAAGAACACCAGUGGCGAAGGCGGCUGUCUGGUCUGUAACUGACGCUGAGGCUCGAAAGCAUGGGUAGCAAACAGGAUUAGAUACCCUGGUAGUCCAUGCCGUAAACGAUGAGUGCUAGGUGUUGGAAGGUUUCCGCCCUUCCAGUGCCGCAGCUAACGCAUAAGGCACUCCG